rnacentral:lncRNA from 1 species
CUCGACUACUAAUGGUAGGCGCUUCCUUCUUUGAUCGAGUAAAGAUCGAAUUAUUUGUGUCUUCUUCAUGUUGGGUUCCCACAUAAAAAACUUAAACAAAAUGCAAUAUAAAAAAUCUACUAUUAAUCCUACUCCUACAAGGUCUGAAUUCAAAAAUUAAUACAAGUCUUUUAUAAAUAAAAAUAAAAAUGUUCAAUCUCCUUCCUCAAAGUCUAUCUCCUCACUUCCAUCCUCCUCCUCAUCCUCUCCUUCCUCUUCGCUUUCAGGC